GACGAACGCUGGCGGCGUGCCUAAUACAUGCAAGUCGAGCGAAGUUUUUCUGGUGCUUGCGCCGGAAAAACUUAGCGGCGAACGGGUGAGUAACACGUAAAGAACCUGCCUCAUAGACUGGGACAACUAUUGGAAACGAUAGCUAAUACCGGAUAACAGCAUUAACUGCAUGGUUGAUGUUUGAAAGUUGGUUUUGCUAACACUAUGAGAUGGCUUUGCGGUGCAUUAGCUAGUUGGUGGGGUAAAGGCCUGCCAAGGCGACGAUGCAUAGCCGACCUGAGAGGGUGAUCGGCCACACUGGGACUGAGACACGGCCCAGACUCCUACGGGAGGCAGCAGUAGGGAAUCUUCCGCAAUGGGCGAAAGCCUGACGGAGCAACGCCGCGUGAGUGAAGAAGGAUUUCGGUUCGUAAAGCUCUGUUGUUAGGGAAGAAUGACUCGUGUAGUAACUAU
rnacentral:rRNA from 1 species